UACGUAGGGACCAAGCGUUGUUCGGAUUUACUGGGCGUAAGGGGCGCGUAGGCGGCGAAUCAAGUCAGCUGUGAAAUCUCCGAGCUUAACUCGGAACGGUCAGCUGAUACAGUUUUGCUAGAGUGCAGAAAGGGCAACCGGAAUUCUUGGUGUAGCGGUGAAAUGCGUAGAUAUCAAGAGGAACACCUGAGGCGAAGGCGGGUUGCUAGGCUGACACUGACGCUGAAGCGCGAAAGCUAGGGUAGCAAACGGG
rnacentral:rRNA from 1 species